GUCAUUCUUUUAUCUUUGUUAUUAAAAAAGAAGAACAAAUAUUAUAUACACCCUCUUUGGCCUAAAUAUCUGCCUUUUUGUUACCUUGAAAUGCUUUGUCUUUAUAAUAGGGAAAUUAGUUUGGCUGUAAUGCUCAGACACCUUGCAAAUAGAAAAACCAACAUGACAAAGAAUUGUGAUAAAAUCGUGUAUUUUUUCCAUAUCGCCCACCCCUAGUUUCAGUUUUAGUUUAGGUUAACUAUAAAAACCCUGAUAAUGACUUAUGUUAAUGCUAAAAAGAAAGACGCUGGAUAACUAGCAUUAAUACAUGUAACAACUAUUGCACUGUCAAGCACAUUUUAAUAAUUUAAGUUUACAUUGUAGCCAGAUAGUACUAGUGUUAUAGUCAACCGAUUAGCUAAUUCCGAUUGCAAUUGCAGACCGUUUGUGACUUUAUUGCUAAAUACCACUUCUGUAAUUUGAAUGUGCGUGUAAUGAAACAAAAUUUGAAAUUGUUCAAAGGAGAACCAGCCACUGGUCUUUUUGGAAGCAUCAAAGCGUAUAGAGGACAAACACAUUCAUUUACCAAUUUAUGCAUGUGUUCAUUGAUCCUCUCUGACCCCCUCCUCACCUGUAGAGAUGAAGCUGGGUGAAAAGGGAUGCUUAUGGAGGGACUCAGAGAGCCAGGCAGACCUCCAGGGAUUAAGUGUCUGGAGAGUGGGAGGACAAGACGAGACCAUCGUGUGCAAGAUGUGCAUCAUCCCUAUGUGAGGAAACUCUUGUUAAUAUGGCGGCGAUGAGGUAAACAGGAAGUGAUGGAGUGGCAGACCCACAGGGGAUAACCACAUGAGGGGUGACAGACCACUGACAUCAGCCCUUGUUCUCUUUCUCGCUCCCUCACUUACUCACUCCACCCCCCCCCCCCCCCCCAACCAACACACACUCAUUUCCAGGAAGGGGUCAUUAAAUGUGAGAGAAAAAAACGAAUCCAGUCAUGGCUUUAAAAUGGAGUAUCUUCUCAUAGAGAUGCAAUCAUUCCUAACGGGUCUGAGUCAGGCUGCAGAUCUCACAGGAGAACAGCACAAUGAAGCUUUUAAUUCCUCCAUUAAGGAGACAAAAUACAUCAUUUUAUUAUUAAAGCAUGGUUUGGAGGGGAAAAAAGCAGCUCCCUUAAGUGGUAGCAGGGUUCAUCUUAAACUGACCAAUAAACCAAGAAAAUUAUCCACUUUUCGUUCUCUUCAACAUACACUUAUAAAACUACAGCAGUGGAUCUAACAUCCGUACAGUAGUUAAAUGUUCACAUUUAACAGUCGUAAUUGACAUUUUCCCUCGCUCCCUUCAGCAAUGAUAUAUCAAAGAGUGCAUCAGCCGCCGGAGGAGGAGAGAAAACAUAAGGAGGAUUAAUAAAGGGGGGGAGGAAAAUAGAUUGACCGUUCACCAAGACCAGUAAAAUAGGAUCUGUCAAGCAACCCUGAAACAUCCAUCCUGUGGAGAAAAAAAAAAGACAGAGGUACAUUUUCAUGGAUGGAAGGAAAAACAGAGGACAAGCCCGUGCAGCUGAUCAAUUUCCCUAGAUUAGCUUUCAGCGGCUGUGCCUGCUUCCAUUUAUAAAGAUAAUAUUAUUUAAUAACCCUUUUGGGUGACUAUUUAAAUGAUCAUACUGCCUACAGUGCAAGGCGCUAAUGGAAAUAUUUAACAUAAACCCCCUUUAAAAAAUGACGCCUUAAACAACAGUUGUAAGAAUUAUUCUGAAAUUAAAGGAGUGUGCAUAAAUGAUUCUCCCUGGCCUUGACGUGCUGUUCUCAAUUACAUUUUGCUCAACUGGAACGAUGCUAGCACGGUGCUUUAUCGCACAUAUAUAUGCGCUGUUACAAAUGUCAUAUGGAAGCUAUUUAUGGCCACGAGCAUUGGUGCCAAGGGCAUAGAAAACAGGGAUGUUAUUGAAUAAAUUCAGCAGUGCAACGAUAGAUUAGGUAGAGCCCUGCCUUCGUUAAGUUCCACCUGAAAAAUGAUAGCUUGGCUUUUGUUGUGCGCCUUCAAAGACAGACAUCUGAAAAUCUGAAAUGAAGAGACAAAGCUAUAAGCAUUCCUUGGUCUUAUUCACCUUCAACUUCUUUUUAAUGAUCUCAUUUCAUAACACCUUCCUGCGGACCUCCCCUUUCCUGUCUGGCUAACGCCAAAUUGCAUAAUGCCAACUGAACACUUGCAUUUGUUCUCCCUUACCCUUCUCAGGAAAUCUAUUUAAAUUGUCACGCCAACUGUCAGUCCGUAUCAGACCUUGAUUUAUGCAAAAACAACGUCUGCUUUAAUUAGUCAUUUCGCCUCACUGCUGUCUGUGCUCUAGGCGGCGAGCUGGGUCAGACAUUCGGAGGAACCUCCUUUUUGUAUGAUCAAAACUAGGCCAUCAGCAACACCGUGAUAAUAGCCAUGUCUCAACACCCCAGGAACAUGUGAGAGUGUGUGUUCGAGUGUGUUUUUAUCCCCCAUGAGCCAUCCAUCUCCACUCAGCAGGGUGGUUUUGGGUGGAGCACGGAUAAUCACAGCAGUCACUAUACACCUGGAGGACUGGAAAAUAAUAAACAACUAACAGGUAGUUUUUCCUGUCAGCUCUCUAUACUUUCCCAGGCACUUGAGAAACAGAGAGAAAAAAGGAAAAGGAGGAAUGUUUACACAGCAAUAUAACAUUAAUCAAAAGAGAAUUAGCAAGAAGGCACCACAUUAUGCACUUGUAUGUACGGGUUUAGUGUCCGUGAUCUUCAAAAAUGAAAGUACACUACACCAUGUGUUUUUGCCCGUUUUGGAUUGCGACACUUCUUGAUUAUCCCAAUUGCAAUCACAUAGAGCAAACAAAAGUAGCUGAAACCUCGUGCUGAUUUCAGAUGGAAAAUUCACCGAACAGAUGCUCAGAAGAGAGCGACUCUCUUGUCAGAUGUUGGGGAAGUGUGCGUGUGAGGAACGACAAUCACAUGAAUGGGAGGGCAGACAAACAUAUUCUCACAACAAUUUCUAUUUUGGGGUCUGUGCGCUGCUUUGCUGACUGAAGUGGCAUUGUGUCCUUUGUGAAAGCAUGGCCCUCUGAGGUGCGUUCAUGUGUUGUGAACCUCGGCCAGGGGAAAAAAAAGCAAGAGGCUGAUGGAGACCAGGGGAAGGCGUGGGAAAGCGACUAGAGAACUAGUGAACGGAGGCCGGUGGAAAAGCCAAGCGAUCUGCAGGCAUUCCUUUGUGAUUACACAUCUGAGGAGAAAGAGGCCAGACAUUCUUUCAGCCAUGUCUGAAGCUGCUGACUUCUACCCUGUUGUUUUUUUCUUAUCUGUAAAAAGAAAGGAACUCAGCUGUGACCAUUUUAUUUGGUGAAUGCAGUCUGUGUUUCCUAAUUCAGAAGCAUGACGUGGCCUGUAUCAGCCCCUUUCAACUUUUACAACUUAAAGUACCAAAAAAAUCAAGCAGAGAGUGGAAGCUCAUGUCUUUGCUCUCAAAAAAGAUACAAGAUAUUUAACGCCGGGCACCCAUGUUCAGUGCUUCCUUCCUCUUUCGCAAACAUAAACCUUAGAAGUAUUCCUUAAUCCAGUCAUCCACUGGUGGGAGGCCGAACAUGACAGCAGACGGACAAGGCAAACACUGGUGGGGGUGGUGCUUGUGCUCCGGCUUUGUUCUGAUGGUGACCUCUUCAUUAUAGGGGCUUUGUCACCAUGUAAGGAUUAAGAGUGAAAGAGAGCUCUUCCUCUAUCACACAGUUAAAAUCUGUCUCCUAAUAAAAUGUUCUUCCAUAUGUGCACAUCAGGGCAUGAGGCAGGAAUCUUUACUAUUUGAAAUUUUAAAGAUGUUUCCUCUCAUCGUACUCUUUAAAAAUGGAUUUGAGUACACAGUGGUGGACUUCUGUAAAGUAAACCAGUUAUUAAAUAAAGUACUUCUUAAGUAGCUUAUCUCUGGCUAUGAUCAAUGACCCAAUUAUAAAGAAUUCAUUUAAUAUUCUCAAGAAAUUAAGUCAAAAGGCAUGCUGUUUAAUUAAUUUAACUGUUCAGUCAAAAAAUUGGAUGCAAUUGAAAACGCAUUUUGUAUCAGCUAUCAGUCCUCCUAGACUCAGAAAUUGAUUUUUCCCCCUUCUAAGCUUGUGUGCAUAAUGACAAAUUGUUUGCUUCAGUUAAUCAAAUAGCAAUAUGAAUAUAGUUAGUGUAUCUUAAGACAUUAUAGCUUGUAAAGCAACAUUUUUGUUUGCAUUGUUCUCAUUAAUGUCUUAUUAUCACACUUGCAAUAUUUUAAUUACCACUGUGACAGAAUAAAUGCCAUGUGGCUGUGAGCAAACACAAGUGAAACGGUGCAGUUAUUACUGUAUCAGAUGCAUUAUGCCUCCCUCUACUGGACAAUUAAACAAACUCUUUAACAAAUGCCAUUGUGUUCAGUUUAAUUGUUCGGUUUAAUUUAUUUGUAUUUACAUUGAACGACACUAGAAAAAUUACUAUUAUUUACUAUAAUUUAUUUCACACUACUGCCUUUGUAUGCCACCUGCAUUUUUAAGUUUUACAACAUAACUUUAAUUGUUCAGUGACCAACAUUAUAUAACACUAUGACGGACAACUAACAGAAAAAGAAAAAAGUCAAAACCCCAAGUGUAAACACACAAGUACACUUGUAGACAAAAUUCUGAAUAGAGUGUAUAAACAAUUUAAAUAAUAAAGCAUACAAAUAUUUAAA